rnacentral:rRNA from 1 species
CCUACGGGUGGCAGCAGUGAGGAAUAUUGGUCAAUGGGCGCAAGCCUGAACCAGCCAAGUAGCGUGAGGGAUGACUGCCCUACGGGUUGUAAACCUCUUUUAUGCGGGAAUAAAGUUAUCCACGUGUGCAUUUUUGCAUGUACCUUAUGAAUAAUGACCGGCUAAUUCCGUGCCAGCAGCCGCGGUAAUACGGAGGGUCCGGGCGUUAUCCGGAUUUAUUGGGUUUAAAGGGAGCGUAGGUGGGUUGUUAAGUCAGUCGUGAAAGUUUGUGGCUCAACCAUAAAAGUGCAGUGGAAACUGGCAGCCUUGAGUACACGGAAGGUAGGCGGAAUUCGUGGUGUAGCGGUGAAAUGCUUAGAUAUCACGAAGAACCCCGAGUGCGAAGGCAGCCUACUAAAGUGCCACUGACGCUGAUGCUCGAAAGUGCGGGUAUCAAACAGGAUUAGAUACCCGAGUAGUC